rnacentral:rRNA from 1 species
GGUGCGUAACGCGUAUGCUUUUCUACCUCUAACAGGGGGACAACAGCGGGAAACUGCUGCUAAUACCCCGUAACGCAAGGGCACGGCAUCGUGAUAUUGCUAAAGGAGUGAUCCGGUUAGAGAUGGGCAUGCGUUCGAUUAGCUAGUUGGCGGGGUAACGGCCCACCAAGGCGACGAUCGAUAGGGGCUCUGAGAGGAGAAUCCCCCACACUGGCACUGAGAUACGGGCCAGACUCCUACGGGAGGCAGCAGUAGGGAAUAUUGGGCAAUGGAGGAAACUCUGACCCAGCCAUGCCGCGUGCAGGAAGAAGGCCCUCUGGGUUGUAAACUGCUUUUGAUAGGGAAGAAAGAGGUUAUGCGUAACCAGUUGACGGUACCUAUCGAAUAAGCACCGGCUAACUACGUGCCAGCAGCCGCGGUAAUACGUAGGGUGCAAGCGUUGUCCGGAUUUAUUGGGUUUAAAGGGUGCGUAGGCGGUGAAUUAAGUCCAUUGGUGAAAG